rnacentral:lncRNA from 1 species
UUUUUUCUGUUAAAUUGGAUAGUUAGUUUUUUUCAGUUUUUUAUGUGAAAUUAGAUAGUUAGUUUAUUAGGUAGAAAAAGUAGAUAGAGAAGAAAACAAUAGAUAGAAAAAAAACUUAGAAGAAAAUAAGAGAAUAAUAAACUAGAAGAAAAAGGAAGAAGAAGAAGAAGAAGAAGAAGAAGAAAGAGGAAAGGAGGAGAAAGAUAAAAGAAAGAAGAAGAAGAGGAGGAGGAGGAGGAGAAAGAAGAAGAAGAAUAAUAAUAUGAUGAUCAAGAAGAAGA